GAUGAACGCUGGCGGCAUGCCUAAGACAUGCAAGUCGAACGAGGGGACCCAAGGAUGAUUAUGGAAAGUUGGAGUGCUUGCACAAAGACCGGAAAUAGUUUGAUCUGGAUUUUCCCCUAGUGGCAAACGGGUGAGUAACACGUGGGUUACCUACCUCUAAGUUGGGGAUAACAGUUGGAAACGAUUGCUAAAUACCGAAUGUACUCUACGGAGUAAAGGAGCUUUAAAGCUUCGCUUAGAGAUGGGCCUGCGGUGUAUUAGCUAGUUGGUGAGGUAAUGGCCCACCAAGGCUGCGAUACAUAGCCGAACUGAGAGGUUAAUCGGCCACAUUGGGACUGAGACACGGCCCAAACUCCUACGGGAGACAGCAGUUAGGAAUAUUCGUCAAUGGGGGAAACCCUGAACGAGCGAUAGCCGCGUGAGUGAUGACAGCCCUUUGGGUUGUAAAACUCUGUUGUUUGGGAAGAACAGAGAGAAUAGGAAAUGAUUCUCUUUGACGGUACAUUCAAGAAAGCUCCGGCUAACUACG
rnacentral:rRNA from 1 species